GAAGAAGGAAAGACUGAAGCAAGGUGUUUCCGCACCUGGAGAAUAGAUGCCCUAGACACACUGCGGUUAAUUCCCUUGUUCAUCUCGUGGAAACUAUGUGAGUUCAUAUUUAGUGCCCCGUUGUCAAACAGAUGGUUGGACUUGUUAUCAUUUUCAAUUUCCCGUCAUCAUAGUUAGAGCUCUCAACUUAGAACUUGUUAAUGUGUAGAAUUUUCCCCUCUUAUUUUCAUGUUAGCUGCUGGAGAAGUUGUUCUGCAAGCUACUGAUUUCUCUAUUCUCUACCCAUAACACCAUUUCCCCCUAUUGUUUUUUUUCUUUUGAUCAUGUCUGAAUUCCUUGGGAGGUUUGUGCUUCCCGCUUCUUUCUUGCGGUAAAACUUACCCGCAACGGUGUUUACACCAAGGCGGUACAUGCAUGCCAUGUGUUUAAAUUUAUAGUUCAUUUGAACACUCGGUUUGGGUAAGCUUUUUCCCCUUUCUUGGGUUGGGAUAGUUGGCA
rnacentral:misc_RNA from 1 species